UCCCUGGUGGAUUAGUGGCUAGAAUGUGGGGCUCUCACGUUUAUUGCCUGGGUUCGAUUCACGGUUAGGGAA